rnacentral:rRNA from 1 species
GACGAACGCUGGCGGCGUGCUUAACACAUGCAAGUCGAACGAAGUGGCGAACGGGUGAGUAACGCGUAAUCAACUUGCCCUUCAGAGGGGGACAACAGUUGGAAACGACUGCUAAUACCGCAUACUGAAGGAGGGGAUUGCGUCUGUUUAGCUAGUUGGUGGGGUAACGGCCCACCAAGGCGAUGAUCAGUAGCCGGUCGGAGAGGAUGGACGGCCACAUUGGGACUGGGACACGGCCCAGACUCCUACGGGAGGCAGCAGUGGGGAAUCUUCCGCAAUGGACGAAAGUCUGGCGGAGCAACGCCGCGGGGGUGAUGACGGCCUUCGGGUUGUAAAGCUCUUUUAGUCGGGACACGGUACCGGAAUAGAAAGCCACGGCUAACUACGUGCCAGCCGCCGCGGUAAUAC